rnacentral:rRNA from 1 species
UACGAAGGGGGCUAGCGUUGUUCGGAAUUACUGGGCGUAAAGCGUGCGCAGGCGGUUAUGCAAGACAGAGGUGAAAUCCCCGGGCUCAACCUGGGAACUGCCUUUGUGACUGCAUGGCUAGAGUACGGUAGAGGGGGAUGGAAUUCCGCGUGUAGCAGUGAAAUGCGUAGAUAUGCGGAGGAACACCGAUGGCGAAGGCAAUCCCCUGGACCUGUACUGACGCUCAUGCACGAAAGCGUGGGGAGCAGACAGG